rnacentral:rRNA from 1 species
AACGAACGCUGGCGGCAUGCCUAACACAUGCAAGUCGAACGAGACCUUCGGGUCUAGUGGCGCACGGGUGCGUAACGCGUGGGAACCUGCCCUUAGGUUCGGAAUAACUCCCCGAAAGGGGUGCUAAUACCGGAUAAUGUCUUCGGACCAAAGAUUUAUCGCCUUUGGAUGGGCCCGCGUUGGAUUAGCUAGUUGGUAGGGUAAAAGCCUACCAAGGCGACGAUCCAUAGCUGGUCUGAGAGGAUGAUCAGCCACACUGGGACUGAGACACGGCCCAGACUCCUACGGGAGGCAGCAGUGGGGAAUAUUGGACAAUGGGCGAAAGUCUGAUCCAGCAAUGCCGCGUGAGUGAUGAAGGCCUUAGGGUUGUAAAGCUCUUUUACCCGGGAUGAUGAUGACAGUACCGGGAGAAGAAGCUCCGGCUAACUCCGUG